AUUGAACGCUGGCGGCAUGCCUUACACAUGCAAGUCGAACGGCAGCACGGGAGCAAUCCUGGUGGCGAGUGGCGAACGGGUGAGUAAAGUAUCGGAACGUGCCCAGUCGUGGGGGAUAACGUAGCGAAAGUUACGCUAAUACCGCAUACGAUCUAUGGAUGAAAGCGGGGGAUCGCAAGACCUCGCGCGAUUGGAGCGGCCGAUAUCAGAGUAGGUAGUUGGUGGGGUAAAGGCUCACCAAGCCGACGAUCUGUAGCUGGUCUGAGAGGACGACCAGCCACACUGGGACUGAGACACGGCCCAGACUCCUACGGGAGGUAGCAGUGGGGAAUUUUGGACAAUGGGCGCAAGCCUGAUCCAGCCAUGCCGCGUGCAGGAUGAAGGCCUUCGGGUUGUAAACUGCUUUUGUACGGAACGAAAAGGUUUGACUUAAUACGUUGGACUCAUGACGGUACCGUAAGAAUAAGCACCGGCUAACUACGUGCCAGCCGCCGCAGUAA
rnacentral:rRNA from 1 species